rnacentral:misc_RNA from 1 species
UUCUUCUGUUUUGAAAAUUUCAUUAAAUCUAUGUUUAAAAAUCUUCAUGGCGCCCAAGUUUUUUUUUCAUCUCUGUUCUGAGCCUUCCGUCUUUUAUCUGGCCUACCCCUCUGAAAUAAUUCUCGUUGAAGAAUCAUGGGAAGGCGAGAAAUGGAUGGAAAAGCCGCGAACAGUCAUGGAAUUUGAGGAACAUGCAAUUGUUUAUGCAUUAGAUCCCACGAAAGACCUAAUCUUUUCUUUUCAUGAGGAUGGAUCCCUGUGGUCCACGCAAUGUCAGAGCAAUUCAUCUUCUUGGAGCUGCAAGAAAUUAGCUCAACUCCCCGAAUUGUUAGGCAAAGAAGUAUAUGGACUCUAUUUAAUUAAAGCAUUAGAAAUGAAUAAGGAAGUCAUGGAUGGAUUAGAAAUUGAAAGUCCUUCUGGAACCUCAUUGUUUAUUUUCAUCGCCAGCAAUGAUGACCCUAUUUACACUUGUAUGUCCUAUUGCAAUGAUAAUAAAGUCUCCAAUCCCUUUCAUCUACCUAAUCACUAUAAAAAUCCUUACUUAGAGUAUUACUUGUACCCUAGAUCCAAUAAUAAUCUCUUAGAUCUACUCAAAUUUCAUAAGAAAGAAAGGAUUAAAGAUGAUAUUAUAACGUACAAGGAGAUUGUAGACAUUCAAACGUUUCCAAAGGCAUUUUACAUCCUUGAUAAAAAUGGUUGUCUUUUCGAAUAUAACAAAGAGUACAAUGUAACAAAAAUACAAACGGAUGUUGCAGGGUUUUGUUUGCGACGAGCCCUUGGCUCUUGUAUUAAAAAAAAGUGGAGCUAUCUACACCUGGAAGCUGCCAUUUCAACCUGAAUCACACAAUGAUAACGAAGAAAGUGAAGAUGUUCACAAUCUCUCUAGGCCAGCUCUUCUAAGAAAAACCCUUGAGGCAUCUAAGUCUCUUGGUAAAAUAAACAAAAUCCUCAGCCAAAAUUCAGUUCUCUUAUCGCAGUACGAACUUCUGCCGCAGAUAGAUUCAUCCAAGAUCCAAAUAGUGAUUUAAAUGGAGAGUUCUGGUUCUUAAAAGUUCUUUUCACUUCACACUUCUCAUCCGAACAGUUUUAUCAAGUAUUCCGGCUACCACAACGUUUACCGAGAGUUGAGCCAUGGAAGGUGCACUCAGAGAUACCAGAGAUAAAUAAACAUCCCAAAUACAUUCCUUUGAGUAUACACUUGUUUCUAGUAUUUACUGCUCCUGAAAAAAUUCGAAUCACAAGUCAACCAUUAUCUCAAUUUCGCUUGACAGCAUUUGACUUCCUUCAAGUAAUGCAAGAAUCUAAAAUCCCUAUUCAAAAACAUAAAACCUCACUCCCCAUAACUUCAACACGCGAAUCCAUUGGAGAAUAUCUUCAUAAACUUAAUUCCACACGACACGUUGCGAAAUCUCUUCUUCAAAAGUCAAAUGUUCCCUUUGGAUCUUUUACAGAGAAACUAGUUACGUCCCUUCCGAAGGAGUUACUUCAAUUAAAUACUAAUUUAUCUGAUCUCUCUGAGUAUUCAGAAUUAAGGCUUUUUAACCAUGAAAAUGUUUGUUACCUUCAGAUGAUCAGUACGGAUGAGAGCCAAUCCGUACAACUGAUAUUCAAGAACAUGGGGGAGUCUAUGCAUGGUGCUCUAAAGAGAAGUCUAGUAUUUCUCAACAAGGAAUUGAUUCGAGAGGGGUAUUAUAAGGAAAUUAGUAGGGAAGUCAUUCAAAAUCUAAGAACUGCUCGAAAAAAAGUUGAUGCGUUAUAUGAUACGAAUGAUAUUGAGAAGCAUAGAGAGGCUUAUUUAUUUCUUCGCUCAAAGGUAUCUGCAUAUCUUUUGUAAUGGUAAAAAAAUAUUUCUUUCCCUCUGUGAUAUUUGAAGCCUUUCUUAUAUAUCAAUGGAAUAAUAUAAUACUUAUAUAUAACAUAAUUUCAUUGAUCUUUAAAAAGUUUUCACCAAUAAGAAUACACUAUUUAUAUUUACAUAGAGUUUCUAUAAAAUGCAGUAUCUUAGCAUAAUAUCCAUAUUUUUUUUCCAAUCCUUUUUAUUCUCGUUCUUCUCGAAGAAGUUAAUUAUUUUUCUAUAAAUUUUGUACUUAUUCCUGCAGAGUUAAUUAUGAUACAAAUUAAUCAUUACUGAAAAAUAUAUAUUUAUAUAUCUAACUACGAAGUUUUAUGGUCGUCUGAAUCACUUCUGAACUGUUUUAAGAGAAUAUACCGAGUGGUCCAUUAAAAUCUGACCACUUUGAAUUUUAAACUUAAACAAGAUAUAAUUAGUUAAUUAACAAUGGAAUUUAAACCAAAUUAAUACUAUAAAUAGAUGUGUGUAUGAACUCUCUUAAUCAUUAAGAGAGCUCAGACACACAGGGCAACCAACUGCGGAUGUAGUAUUCUGUCAUGGCGUCCCAGUGAUGGCUGACAAUAGGUUUGAGGGCCUCGGCGUUUGAAUGACGGACACUGCAGGCCUUCUCUCGACAUGCACCCAAAAGGUGUAGUCAAGGGGUUGGCAUCAUGGCUGUAGGGGUUCAAAGUGUCAAAAGACUAAUUCAAAAGUGACCUCACUAUCCUCACAAGGCUCUCUCUACCAACUUUUUUUAUUACUCUCUGGUGGACUUGAGGGGAUUGACCUGUUUGACAGAGCCCUUCUUCCUCUACAAAGUUUCAGACUUGCUGACAGCAUAGAAGAUGGUCCUGGAUACACCCAACUGCUUUGAGUACUCGAAUGGAAAUUCGUCGUUUACGUUCAAGUGUUAUUUUCUCGAAUUGUUCGUAAGCUACAGAGCUCAGUUUUUUUUGUUGUUUUGUAACUAAUUAUUUAUGCUUGAAUAUAUCGAAUUAUGAAUUAA